AUGACAAAAGGAGCAGAUAUCGCUCACAUGAUGCCGUCACAACACCUUCUGCACGUUUCCUUGAAAUUUGUACUUGUACAGUGUCCAUGUGUUGUGCAGAUAGUCAAGGAAACCCUGAACAGCCUUUCUGUUGACAACUUCAAAAGGAUCCUGAAAGAGAAGAGGGUGCUGAAUCACACAACAGACAACUGCUUGACUGCUGUAGGCAAGAUGGUGCAAGACAGCAACCUGGUUUGUGUUCCACCUUCAGACAUACAGCAUUUCCUCACUCCUUACUCCAUCCUGAAGAAGCAGGAGAGUCACCUGUGGUUCUGCAGGCUCUUGAAGGUGAUGUUCGGUCUGACCGUCUGUGCCAUCUUCUUCUACAUGCUGCGCAGGAAACCAAGGAGAAGAGUUAGGAAGUUCAGUCAUGUACAGGAGCUGUUCAGAAUAAUGCAGUCUGUCAGAGUUCAAACCAGACUCAUUUCUAAAGAUAUGGAUUAGAAGUUGCUGGUUAAGAAGUGUUUGGGGUUAUUUUCUGUGCUUUAAUCUUUAUUAAAUGGGACUUUCUAAAUUGCUAAAUUGCUAAAAUAUUGCUUUGAUAUCAGAUAUGCAUAUUUUACAAACAAUAUUAUAAAACGUGUAAAUGAUUAAAGAGCAUGCACAUUUCUCUAGUUUUCAUUAAAUGCACAUGUAACAAUAGAGUACUACUGUAUCUGACCAAUAGAUGGUGCUAAAUACCUGUCUAGCCUCGUUCAACCUUAGAGGUUCACUAUGGGUUGGUUAGUAUUGAGAUAACCAUCGACAUAAUGAUUUUAAACCAUUAAAACCAGAAGUCUUCAAGACCUCUCUAGCUUAAAUAAUAACUACAGAUAAAAUCAUAUAAACCACUAAUAAGACGCAAAUUAUUUAUGUCUAGAUUGUAACAUUCUAUAGACUUACAUCAUUCAAGUAUCUACUGUAUAAAUCAUGUUAUAAGUCUACAAGAAUAUUACUAUGAAUAUGACUUAAUGAAUUAAGAUUAACAUUAUAUAAUGGUAGGUGAUGUUCUUAAUAAAAGCAUUACAGAAGAAAUCUAGCUUUAUAUU
ensembl:lncRNA